GACUCGGUUGGGCGGUCCGCUUAACGGCGUGUACUGUCUGACUGGGCCUUACCUCUUGGUGAGCCAGUGUGCCCUUUAUUGGUGUGCAUUGGGGAACCAGGACUUUUACCUUGAGAAAAUUAGAGUGUUUAAAGCGGGCAUUUUUGCUUGAAUACAUUAGCAUGGAAUAAUAAAAUAGGA
rnacentral:rRNA from 1 species